rnacentral:tmRNA from 1 species
GGGGGCGAAACGGCUUCGACGGGGAUGUCGAUGCUCGUGGGUUGCGUGCCGAGGCCCUGCACCUCGUAAAAAGCGGGAAACCAAUAGUCGCCAACGACUAUCCGUUAGCUCAGGCGGCUUAAGCCGCCUGCCUCCGACCGUCGAAUGCCCGUAUAGGCGCAAGGAGGUCACUCUCACGGGAUAGCCUGAAGCCUCCUCCCGGGGGGCCGAAGGGCGAGCCUUCUCCCGGGAUGGUCCGAAGGGAACCUUGCCGGCCAGGGUCCCCGGGGACGAGACCCAAAUGACCGGAAACGCACGUAGUGGCCCUGGGUAAAGAAUCUUCGGACGGGGGUUCGACUCCCCCCGCCUCCACCA